UUGAAGUGGGAAACAUAUUACUUGUUUUGUCUGAAAUGUGUUUGGCAUCCAAUGACUUGGUCAAUAUAGAAGACUUUGAAGUGGGAAACAUAUUAUUACUUUUUGUCUGAAACUCUUUCUCUUUCCUUGUAAACUCGUUCUCUUUCCCUUUCUCUUUCUUUUCCAUUCUUCUUCUUCUUCGUUUGAUUAUUUCGAUCUGUAAUCAUGGAUGCAUCAUUCAAACUCAAGAUGGUUGGAUCUUCAUUAUCCCCCCUCAAAUUGGAGGGUAGUGAAACAACCCCCAAUUUGUCUAGCAAAAAUUUGUGAGAUGCCCCAGAGAGGGGUUUUGUGAAUAGAUCCGCAAUCUGCUGCUUUGAAGGGACGAAGGACAAAGUAAUGAGGCCGGAGACGAACUGUUGUCUUACAAAAUGACAAUCCAGUUCAACAUGUUUCGUCCUUUCGUGAAAGACUGGGUUUUUCGCAAUAUGGAUAGCCGCUUGGCUAUCGGAGUGAACAGUCACCGGCAAGCUAGGAGGAGCGGCAAGAUCUGAUAGAAGCUUCACUAUCCAGGAAAUGGGUGCUCCGCCAAGGGUGAUGAAAAAUCCACUGACUGACCGUCGAGAGUCAGUACAAAAUGCCCAGUCAGCAUCGCAAAAAGCAAGUAAUUCAAAAGAUGAAUCAGAGGAGAGGAGGAUCCCUUGUCCUGGAUCAUUUUUCAGAUCUGGAGCCUUACAAGCUCCAUUGAUGAAUCCAAGUUUUCUCUUGGCUGAUAAGGCUAGGAGAAUAGAUCUCCUCCAACCUGGACAUCCUUUGCCAUCAAACACAUUGUUAAUUAAAGCCAUUCCAGGGGAAUCAGAGUUAUUCAGAUGAUAAGGGUGACUGUUACUAUAAGUGAUGGUUUUGUCUACACUGCUUGAAUGUACAUUUGGUGUUGCAUCAGCCAUUUUGAUUGUAUAUGAACGGUCAUUUCUUCAUUUAUGUACUUAAUGAUGCCUUAAAGAAUCUUAGAAAUGUGAAUAAAGAGUGCCAACUUUAUGUAAUUCCAUGACUGAGACAGUUCAGCACUACUCCACGGUUAGGAUGCCCCUCUCAAUUUAUGGUUUUGUCUACACUGCUUGAAUGUACAUUUGGUGUUGCAUCAGCCAUUUUGGUUUAUUGGGAGGUUGAAGGUGAAUGAAGAUGAUUUUAAUGAAGGCUUCAGAUCGAGCUCAAGUCUGCUCUGAUACCAUAAAAGAAGACACUGAUUUUGAUGAUUUUCACCUUGUAUUCAUUUAUCUGUUCAUUCCUAUAUAUACACGUUAUUGUAAAUAAAAGGCUAAGAAAAAUACUAAAACCUAUACACUUGUCUACUUAUGAUUUGUACAGUUGUGUAACAGAAAAUAUUCCUUCACAUGACUAACACGUGAAGGAAAGUCAACAUAGAAGACUUUGAAGUGGGAAACAUAUUACUUUUUUUGUCUGAAAUGUGUUUGGCAUCUAAUGCCUUGGUCAAUAUAGAAGAAUUUGAAGUGGGAAACAUAUUAUUACUUUUUGUCUGAAACUCUUUCUCUUUCCUUGUAAACUCGUUCUCUUUCCCUUUCUCUUUCUUUUCCAUUCUUCUUUUUCUUCGUUUGAUUAUUUCGAUCUGUAAUCAUGGAUGCAUCAUUCAAACUCAAGAUGGUUGGAUCUUCAUUAACACUUUUUGUGUGGAAAAAAUUGUUUUCCAUGCAAAAGGUUCUUCCUGGAAGAUGUUUUACCUCAAGAAAUAAGUUUCUGAAUCAGAUUCCAAAGUUUGGUUGGUACAGAAGUAAGGUGACAUGGUAAUCAUACAAAGAUUGACAGCAAGCUGGUAGAAAAAAUGACAUGGAGUAAGAGUUGCAAUAUUUAUAAAGGAAAAGGACUUCCAUCUAUAUAAGUGACAUAAAUCAUUUCAUAGUUUUGUGGAAAUCAUUUUCUUUGAGAAAACUAUUCCAAUAAUUCGAGAUAACCAAAUUUUGAAAAAUGAUUUCAUCAGGAAAAACAUGUAAGAUAACAUUUUUUGGAAAAAUAAUGUCUAUCAUACCAAAUCCAUCUCCAUCCAUCAACAAGUCAACAGAACUUGAGUCCUUAGCCACCUUUUCUUAUUACUUCCUUCUUUUUUGUCGAUUUAUCAUCUUAUCAUAUAUUAUACUGAAAGUGGGAAGAUAUCAAGUCUAAAACCAAAUUACCAAAAUGCCCAAUAGAAAAAGAUGACGAACCAUUUUGCCGUGUUCUUCUACUCCUAUUAAUCAAAUGAAUAAAAAUAAUAAUUUAGCUACACUAAAUUGGAAACAGGAGGGCUCUUCCAUCUUCCCGUACUUAUUGUUCUUUUUGGCUUUCAUACCAGUAAAAUCAUUAACCAAAUUUUAUUUAAAUAUUCCUGUGUCUUUGAUAAAUUACACAAUGAAGUGUUGUUUCAAAAGCUAUAUUGAUUCUUUCAAAUUCCACUAAUUUAUUAUGUUAAAAAAUUAUAGAGAAGCUAAGGAGUUAAAAAUUAAAGAGUAAUUAAUUUAACGCUGACCAAAUUCAUUUGAUUGUAUAUGAACGGUCAUUUCUUCAUUUAUGUACUUAAUGAUGCCUUAAAGAAUCUUAGAAAUGUGAAUAAAGAGUGCCAACUUUAUGUAAUUCCAUGACUGAGACAGUUCAGCACUACUCCACGGUUAGGAUGCCCCUCUCAAUUUAUUUUCUCUAAUCAUUUUGAUUUUUACAGAAAUUGGAAGGUUGUUGGUGAUCCA